CCGACUCAAACGAAAAUCUAAUUGCCCCGACACGGACUCUCGAUCUAUACUGAAGUGAAGGGCAGGUUAGCAUUCGUUAGCUUAGCUUUUCCGAGUUUUCACCGUGUUUUUCACAUUUUGAGGCGCGCAUUCAUUCGCUGUACACACUUUUGUGUGUUGUGUUGAGGGUGAGUGUCUUGCUGCUGGUUGACCAUGCAUCCCCAGCUCCUAAAGGUUACAGUGGAAAGAUGAAGGCUCAAGCCAAUAACCAUCUCAUCAGAUUUGCAGAUUGGUAUGGACACAUUUCUUGCUGGUUGAAUCUGGACGGCCUUUCUACCUGUGACUGAAGUGGGAAGGACAAAUGUUUUUUAUGUCAUUGUUGACCUGACUACAUUUGGUGAUCCUUUAAGGCAUUUUGGCAACGCUCUUGCGGUCUGUGGAGACUAGUUCGAGGGCUGCAGGCUUCGCUUCAUCAGAGGACCCUGGUGAUAACGGGACUGUGACAUCAUCAUUUUCCAAAAGCUGCGGUUUGCUCGUCCACAUGAAAACGCGACCCCAGAGUUUUCAGAUUUCUCUACUCUGGAACCCGUUCUCAAAAAACUCAGUUUACAUCCACCCGAAAUGCUGGCUCGAUUUACUACAAGAGGGGAGCGCUGUGGCAUGUUUAACAAUAAUUUUCAGAUUGUGUCAUAUUGUGUGGUGAAGAUGAAAUAUCCGUUACCACUUGUGGAUAUUGUGGUGGCCCUUACAUGCUGAUUUAGGCACGCUGCAAUUGUGGGGGUGAAAAUGUGGCACACGAGAUAAGGCAGGUCCAACUGUUGACGCUGCAUGA